ACCUGGCUGGCUCAGUGGGUAAAGCAUGUGACUCUUGAUCUCGGGGUCAUGAGUUCGAGCCCCAUGUUGGGUG
rnacentral:tRNA from 1 species